rnacentral:lncRNA from 1 species
CUUUGUUGUGGGGGCCUGUCCUGGGCACUGUAGGUUUAGCAGCACCCCUGGCUUUACCCUCCAGAUGCCGGUAGCAGCACCCUUCCCUCAGGUAUGAAAGCCAACGAUGUCUCCACACAUUACCAAGUGUGUACCCUGAUUGAGAACCACUGAUGUGAGCUCUACCGUGUGCCAGCUUUGAGCUGGACUCCAUUCCCGCCUCCUGUUCCCGCAGGCAGAGCUGGCUCUGCAAACACCUGGAGCAGCUACAGCCUCCGCUUGGCGUCCCGAUGCUCUCCACCAGCGGCCCCGUACAUCACCAGGCAGUAUAGGAAGGUCAAAGCUCCGGCUGCAGCCCAGUUCCAGGGACCAUUCUUCAAAGAGUAGACACUCUGGCUGCUCCCUGACAGCACCUGAAGUGACCUGGAAUCAGUGAAGCCAAAGGGACUGGCAGUCUGCCCUGCAGGGAGUACUGACCUAUCCCAGUUGUGUGAGGCUGCGAGAGAAAGGGAGUGCAUGUGCGCGCGUGCAUGUGUGCGUGCGUGUGUGUUCACGUGUACUCGUGCGGGCGCGUGAGUGGUCUUCAAACGAGGGUCCCGAACCCCGGGGCGGCAGGAAGGGGGCCGACUCCACGCUGUCCUUUGGGAUGAUACUUGGAUGCAGCUCUUGGGACCGUGUUCUGCAGCCCAGCCUUCCUGUUGGGGUGGGGCCUCUCCUACUAUGCAAUUUUUCAAGAGCUCCUUGACCCUGCUUUUUGCUUCUUGAGUUGUCUUUUGCCAUUACGGGGACUUUGGUUUGACACAGGGGUCAGCCUUAGGAAGGCCUUCAGGAGGAGGCCGAGUUCCCCUUCAGUACCACCCCUCUCUCCCCACCUUCCCUCUCCCGGCAACAUCUCUGGGAAUCAACAGCAUAUUGACACGUUGGAACCGAGCCUGAACAUGCCCCUCGGCCCCAGCACAUGGAAAACCCCCUUCCUUGCCUAAGGUGUCUGAGUUUCUGGCUCUUGAGUCAUUUCCAGACUUGAAAUUCUCAUCAGUCCAUUGCUCUUGAGUCUUUGCAGAGAACCUCAGAUCAGGUGCACCUGGGAGAAAGACUUUGUCCCCACUUACAGAUCUGUCUCCUCCCUUGGGAAGGGCAGGGAAUGGGGACGGUGUAUGGAGGGGAGGGAUCUCCUGCGCCCUUCAUUGCCGCACUUGGUGGGACCACGAACAUCUUUAGUGUCUGAGCUUCUCAAAUUAGCUGCAAUAGGAAAAAAACAAAUUGGGAAAUGAAAAAAAAAUGGGAAGAUUAAAAAGCACAGGGGGAAGAAGAGAUUUUGGAGGCCAUCCUGCCAGGGGCGGACGGGGCUGACUCCUGCUCUCUGGAGGACGGUCAGUCCAUGUCUCGGAGAAACGGGUGAGCUGAGCUUGGCGUUUGGACCCAGUUCAGUGAGGUUCUUGGGUUUUGUGCCUUUGGGGCAGACCCCAGACAAGGAUGUCUGAGACCACUUGGGCGCUGUUUUCUCAGCUCCAAUUUCAAUAGUGAGCUAUCAAACCCAGAGCGGAAGGAGGGAGCUCUGAUGAGCACGAUUUGUCACACGAUAAAGGGAUUUUUUUUUC